rnacentral:lncRNA from 10 species
UAAGAUGUGCCUGCUUCACCUACUGGCGUGAAUGUAAACUUUCUGAGACCUUCCCAGCCAUGUGGAACUUUUCAGGUAGUUGGGAGCCAGGGAAGGAGUGACACUAUCCCUAGAUGUAGUGAUAUGUUUUACAGGUCCACAGCUGGAAGGAGCUUUCCUUGAUUCUCAAAUGAGACUUUGGACUUUGGACUUUUGAGUCGGUGCUGAAACAGGCCACGCUCUUCAUGCCUGUGUGUUUCCCGCACCCCUGGGAAGGCGAAGGGAAGGAGCUACAUUGUCAAGUGUGGUCCAGCAAGUAAGCAGGUCCUGAGCACCAAACAUAUCACAGGCACUCACUGCUUGGGCCCACCAGUCAACAGGAGCCUGCUAGAUACAGCCAUGUGCCACUCCAACCUCCCUGAGGGCAUGGCCUAUGCACUAUUUGAUUUUCAGCAUAUCAUCACGAACUCCACGGGCGUCAAGAAGCAAUGGGUGUGGAUGUAGAAGCAGCCCGGAUUGCAACUGUGGUGGUGUAUUCUUGAACUAUAUUGUUCUAUUGGUGGUUUCUAGCUUUCUUGCCUUUCUGACCAUGAUACGAGUAGCUCCCUUGAUGGGUUAGUUCUGAAGGUUCAGAGAGUCUCUCCUCAGGCCUACACAAGCUCACUACUGCUCACUUUAUGUGAUGUGGGCCUACACAAGCUCACUGCUGCUGUCUUUCUAACAUGUCUAUAUGUUCUUCAUUAACUCUAUUAGAUCACUUUCUGCUGAAAGAGAUCAGUGUGCUUUCUGUUUCCUGAACUCAACCUUGGGAAAAAUGGUUUUCCUGGGAGGGCUUGACUUAAUCAGGUGAGCCCUUUAAAUGGAUUGGGACCCUCAUGGAGGUCAGAUGUGUUCUCCUGCUGACCUUGAAAAUGUAAUCUGCAAUGUGAACGUGUUGAUGGAGGGGGCCAAAUGCCAAGGACCUGAGGGGGCACCGUGGGAUCUGAGAGUAGUCCGCAGCUAAUAACUAGCAAGAAAAUGAAACCCAACACUUAGCCACAAGAAACUGAAUUAUGCUAACAACUAUUUGAGCUUUGAAGAGGAUCCUGAGCACCAGAAAGUAAUGUCGCAUAGCAACCACGUUGAUUGCAUCCUUGCAAGACCUCGUGAUGACCACUCAAUUAAUUCAUGCCCAGAUUCAUGCCCAUUGAAACUGUGAUAAUACAUGUAUGUUGUUUUACAUU